GACGAACGCUGGCGGCGUGCUUAACACAUGCAAGUCGAGCGGUAAGGCCCUUUCGGGGGUACACGAGCGGCGAACGGGUGAGUAACACGUGGGUGACCUGCCCUCAGCUCUGGGAUAAGCCUGGGAAACCGGGUCUAAUACUGGAUAUGACUCCAUGACGCAUGUUGUGGGGUGGAAAGCCUUGUGCGGCUGAGGAUGGGGCCCGCGGCCUAUCAGCUUGUUGGGUGGGGUGANGGCCUACCAAGGCGACGACGGGUAGCCGGCCUGAGAGGGCGACCGGCCACACUGGGACUGAGACACGGCCCAGACUCCUACGGGAGGCAGCAGUGGGGAAUCUUGCGCAAUGGGCGAAAGCCUGACGCAGCGACGCCGCGUGAGGGAUGACGGCCU
rnacentral:rRNA from 1 species